rnacentral:ncRNA from 1 species
AGGUAAAAUCAACGAAAGUUGAUGGCGCAAAGUCAUGGGUCUAAAGUCGUUUUAUUAAAGUGGCUAAGACUGCCAGACUGCCGAA